AUACGAAGGGUGCAAGCGUUAAUCGGAAUUACUGGGCGUAAAGCGCGCGUAGGUGGUUUUGUAAGUUGGAGGUGAAAGCCCCGGGCUCAACCUGGGAAUUGCCUCCAAAACUGCAUGACUAGAGUACGGUAGAGGGUAGUGGAAUUUCCUGUGUAGCGGUGAAAUGCGUAGAUAUAGGAAGGAACACCAGUGGCGAAGGCGACAACCUGGAGUGAUCCGGGCACGGAGGGGCGAAAGGGUGGGGGACAAACGGGAUUAGAUCCCCUGGUAGUCCACGCCGUAAACGAUGUCAACUAGCCGUUGGGAUCCUUGAGAUCUUAGUGGCGCAGCUAACGCAUUAAGUUGACCGCCGGGGGAGUACGGCCGCAAGGUUAAAACUCAAAUGAAUUGACGGGG
rnacentral:rRNA from 1 species